CGAACAACAAGGGAGAAGUGCACCGCGGACGUAUGAGAGGAAAAGUGCUGCUGGGUGCGUGUUCGUAAUCGGGUCGCCGCUAACCCCUCCCCCGCAAAAGAAAGGGAAUGGGAAAUGUUCGUGGACCACGCAUGUUUAAAGGAAACUCUUGGCUCCCCUCUUCAGUCUGCAGUUGCUCGUUGUUGUGCCAAAGACUUGAGCAGCGUCGUGUGAUUUGUUGCGGCCACUUAAGAGCAAGGAGGUGAACAUCCCUCCAUGAGUCACGGUGGAUAGUGAGUAGGUACUUUGACAUGGCUGCUCAGACUGGCUCAUUUCCUGUCCAAUUUCUAAGUGGGCUGCCAUGCUUCAGAAAAAUGAAUUUCACCCAUGCUGGAAGAAGAUUCCUCUCUAAGGACAGUAUGGAUCCAGGAAAGAGAAAAAUUAUGUUCUUCUAUGACACCAUGCCUUGCCAGAAAAUGCUGACCAUACUUAGAGAAAUAUAAACAUGGAGCCAUUACCUCAGGAAGAAAUUCUAAGGAAAAUCUUAGGGAGAAAUUAGUACUGUUGUUGUACUCUUGUUACAUAAAAUACAAAAUUGCCUACUUGUGAGUUCUUCAAAAAUACAAUUCAGUUUCACCCACUACAAAUAUUGGUAUUGUAGGUUUUGUUUUAAGUAACCCAAAUGAGAUUAGGCCCUUUGAUACUUGUUUGACGCUUUUGCCAAAGAAGUGCAUUCUGCAUCUUUAGUGGUUUCUUCACCAUCUUACUGACGUGCGCAGCGACUCAGAGGAGUCGUUGGCGCACAUGUGAGAGCAGGGUGCUCCCUGUAAGAAGCAAGCCCCAGAGCAGUAAGAUUUCUACCUGGUGCCCAUUGUACAAACACCCUCCCCGCUCUGACUUGGACAAAGUUUUCAGGCAGAGGAGACAGGCAGCUUUUCAGCAGAAGCUGAUAAUGGAACCAGGGCAGAGGGAGGUGAGCAGGUUACCAUGGAAACGGCAGGACAAGCCGGAGAUAAAGACCCAGGGAAAAGUAUAGCUAGCCCUCGAGAUAGGAGGAGAGCACGCCCAGUUUGGGGCAACUGGAGUAGAGGGAAAUGGAAAGGAGGAGGAAGAGAAGCUUGUCUGACCCACCCAGAGAGGGGUGUCCCAGACGGGUCAAGAGUGUUUCAUAAUCUGAUUCCCAUCAGAAAGAGGGGACAACAUAGCCAUUAUCAUCAUCAUUACAAGCUCCUUUGUUGUUUCUUGUCUGCGUAGCUUUGAAGUUUCUUAGAAUAAAAGAUUUAAAGCUCUAACUGCUGGAGUGCAUGGGAAGAGUGCUCCAGCCGCACGACACUUACCUCCACAGUGUUGGAGAAAGUGCACUGACAUAGGAGUAGGCAUACAGGACAAAAUGAGUUGCAGGUGUGUGUAUGUUUUUCUCCUAUGCUAUGGCCAAGAGGAGUGGAGUCUACCCUCUGUUCCCCAAGCAUGGCUUCUCCAGUGUGCAGAAAUGCCCUGCAUGGCCCCUAACACAUUCUGGUGCCAUAACUUAUUUAUUGACUGAUUUUGCCAGUCCCUAGUCAGGAAGGGAAUCACCAUGCAGGAAGAACUGGAAAACAAUACCAGAAUCUGUCCAUUCCCCCUUCUACCUUCCUUGAUUUGGGAUAGGAAAUACCCAUACUCUAACUUCUUUUUUUUCUGUCCUCUCCAACUUUACCCAUAUUAACGUGUGUUGCCAGGGCCAAGGUAUUAACAUUUUAAUCCCUUUUCUCCCAACUUGAUUAGGCUUCUUGUGUGUCCAUUUGACUUGUAUUACUAAAUUCCCAUAUUUCACAUUAAGUUUUCCUCCUUUGCUGUCCUAUACCAUUUGCACAUUACUCCAAGUCACCCGGUUCUUUGUCUCCUCUCUGCUUUAGUGCAAUCCUUACACAUCUACUCAGAAGAGGUCUCAUUAAGUUUAUUUGGACUUACUCCUAGGUGAAAGGACAUAGGAUUGCAGUCUUAACCAGAUAAUUGCUGGUUAAAUUUGGAAGUUGUCAAUGUACCCAUUAAUCUAAAUUUGUAAUAAACUCUUCUGGUCAAGCCUAGUACAUGCAGCCAGCCCAGUCCACAUGAUCUUGGGGGCUCUUUGCACAAAUUGCAGUGGCUACAUAUAGACCCAACUUGUGGCACUGGUUCAUACAGUGACGUUCUGCAUACCCAAUGAGGGGCUGCAAGCAGCAGUCCAUAUAUUUCUGCAGAUGGUCAUGUAGAACCUACAAACCUGGCCAUACCC